AUUUUCAUUUUCUUUUUAGAUGUUAUGGCUUUUGGGGACAUUUAUUUGAUUUUAAAAGUAUACAUCGUCUUAGGAUUGUCUCAUAGCCCAUUUACCUUUAAUUGGGCCUAUAACUAUCAUAUAAGUAGUUAUUUGAUUUUAAAAGUAUACAUCGUCUUAGGCUUUUCUUUGUCUCAAAGCCCAUUUACCUUUAAUUGGGCCUAUAACUAUCAUUACCAACCCUACGAGUACGACGCGGUGAUAACGACAACUUCUGAAGAGAGAUAAUGUAUAACUGCACUUUGCGAUUAAGGAAAUUAUAGAAAGAUACAAAGUCUGAAUAAAUGACAAGAAAAUAUGAGUUAGUAGUAUCCAUUCUUCUCCACUUUCGACAUCAAUUUUUUUUUUUU
rnacentral:lncRNA from 1 species